UGGGUAGUUAUCCUAGUUGGUUAAGGAGGUUUACUGUAAAUAAAUUGGCUGCCGCCCUCGCAUGUUCGACUCAUGCCUACCCAA